ensembl:lncRNA
CAUUGCCUCCUAGGGACCAAGCAUUGGGUUCAGGGGUUUAUAUACACAAGCUCAUUUACUCUUCACAGUGACUCUAGGAGGUGGGUGCUUCUGUACCUGCCUUUGACAGUUAAGGAAACUGAGGCUCAGAGAAGUAAGAGAGCUGGGAUCCACAUUUAGGUCUGUCUCACAGCAAAGCCAGCACUUCUGAGUGUCCUGCUAGAUGACUUAGGUCUGUAUCUAAAUCACAAACCCUCCAUUUCUCAAGCCUCAGAGUCCUAUUCCGCCCACACUUCAAAUGAUUCCAGGAACUCUGCAUCCUAAGAGCCUAUAUAUGCCUGGAGGUAUAGUAUGACAGCGGGAAAAACAUUUUCAGCCCAUUGGAAAGGCUGAAAUGCAGAGGCCCCAGGGGACACUCAGUGGUGGAGGGAAAUUCCUCGCCUCUGGACCGCACCCGCCCUUGAACACCUCCCGGUCUCUUUGGGCAGAGCGCAAGCCAGACAGAGCUGGGGACAGUGAAGUGGCCAUCCUCAGCCCUGUGUGUGCCAGGAGCCCCCCUCCCGGGGGGUGGGGGGCGGGUGGCCCCGCUGCAGGAGGGCAGGGGCGGCAGAGGGAGCCUGGCGUGGGCGGCUGGGACAGAGUCCUUUUUGAAGGAGGUGGGGACCCCGUGAAGUACGUGACUUCUGACCCUUCAGCCUGCACGCUCCAGUUAGCAGGACAGAGACCCCUCCCCAUGCAUCCCCAGCCUUCCCGGGCUUUCUGCCCUGCGGGGAGGCCCUGUCACCCCGCCCCCCACAACACCCCCCCAGGCAUCCUUGAGAGGACCAGCUGGAACUGGGGGCUGGGAGCAGGCAGAGUCCUGCCAGGGGUCUCAGACCCCUAGCCUGUCUCCCCCUACCCCUCCCUCGACACAACUGCUGGUUUAAAGCAAAACCUGAUUCCGUCCUUUCUGCUGCUCGGUGGUGCUGGCACUGCUGCCUGGGGUUAUUUUUAGCAGGGAUGCGGGAACGCACAUUUCUCCCGGACUUUCACUGGGGACACCCCCACCCCGCCAGCCAAGACUCCCCCUGGGGAGGCUGUUUCGGAAACCCCCCCUCCCAGAAAGGGGAAACGGGUGUGCUUUCUGUUCCUCCAACUCACCAGAACAGGAGUUGCGGUCAAGCCUGGGGCUACCCUGGUGGGAAAUUCUAGGUUCCAAAGCCUUCAUCCCUGGUCUCUGUGUUCCCUUAAAUCUGGGGGGCCUGAUGCUCAGUGUGUGGGAGUUGGGGUCCAAGGAGAGCCAGCACUAUGGACUCCAUGGGGGC